rnacentral:rRNA from 1 species
AUUGAACGCUGGCGGCAGGCCUAACACAUGCAAGUCGAGCGGAUGAAGGGAGCUUGCUCCUGGAUUCAGCGGCGGACGGGUGAGUAAUGCCUAGGAAUCUGCCUGGUAGUGGGGGAUAACGUCCGGAAACGGGCGCUAAUACCGCAUACGUCCUGAGGGAGAAAGUGGGGGAUCUUCGGACCUCACGCUAUCAGAUGAGCCUAGGUCGGAUUAGCUAGUUGGUGGGGUAAAGGCCUACCAAGGCGACGAUCCGUAACUGGUCUGAGAGGAUGAUCAGUCACACUGGAACUGAGACACGGUCCAGACUCCUACGGUAGGCGGCAGUGGGGAAUAUUGGACAAUGGGCGAAAGCCUGAUCCAGCCAUGCCGCGUGUGUGAAGAAGGUCUUCGGAUUGUAAAGCACUUUAAGUUGGGAGGAAGGGCAGUAAGUUAAUACCUUGCUGUUUUGACGUUACCAACAGAAUAAGCACCGGCUAACUUCGUG